UUUAAGGUCUAAUCUGCCCUAUGAGGAGUUAAAUGGCCGCGGUAUUUUGACCGUGCAAAGGUAGCAUAAUAAUUAGUUUUUUAAUUGAAAGCUGGAAUGAAUGAUUGGACGAGAAAAUAACUGUCUCAAUUUAAUUUUUAUUAGAAUUUUAUUUUUAAGUAAGAAAGCUUAAAUUUUAUUAAAAGACGAGAAGACCCUAUAGAGUUUUAUAUUUUAUUAAUUAUUAGUUUUUUAGGAUUAUUUUAUUAAUAUUAAAUAAAAUAUUUUAUUGGGGUGAUAGAAAAAUAUUAUUAACUUUUUUUAUAAUUAAUUCAUUAAUUUAUGAAUCAAUGAUCCAUUUUUUAUGAUUAAAAGAAUAAGUUACCUUAGGGAUAACAGCGUUAUUUUUUUUUAGAGUUCUUAUCGAUAAAAAAGAUUGCGACCUCGAUGUUGGAUUAAAAUGAAAAUUUGGUGUAGAAGCUAGAUGAUUAGGUCUGUUCGACCUUUAAAAUUUUACA
rnacentral:rRNA from 1 species